rnacentral:rRNA from 1 species
UACGGAGGGUGCAAGCGUUAAUCGGAAUUACUGGGCGUAAAGCGUGCGUAGGCGGUUCGUUAAGUCUGUUGUGAAAGCCCCGGGCUUAACCUGGGAAUGGCAUUGGAAACUGGCUCGCUGGAGUGUGGCAGAGGGGGGUGGAAUUCCGCGUGUAGCAGUGAAAUGCGUAGAGAUGCGGAGGAACACCGAUGGCGAAGGCAGCCCCCUGGGCUAACACUGACGCUCAGGCACGAAAGCGUGGGGAGCAAACAGG